rnacentral:rRNA from 1 species
GAGUUUGAUCGUGGCUCAGGAUGAACGCUGGCGGCGUGCUUAACACAUGCAAGUCGAGCGAAGCGCUUUGGUUAGAUUCUUCGGAUGAAGACCUUUGUGACUGAGCGGCGGACGGGUGAGUAACGCGUGGGUAACCUGCCUCAUACAGGGGGAUAACAGUUAGAAAUGGCUGCUAAUACCGCAUAAGCGCACGGUACUGCAUGGUACAGUGUGAAAACUCCGGUGGUAUGAGAUGGACCCGCGUU